rnacentral:rRNA from 1 species
ACACAUGCAAGUCGAGGGGCAGCGCGGGAUAGCAAUAUUCUGGCGGCGACCGGCGGAAGGGUGCGUAACGCGUGAGCGACAUGCCCGUUGCCCGGGGACAACCGGUGGGAACGCCGACUAAUCCCCGAUGGGAUACGAUGCUGCAUGGCAUUGUAUUGAAAGUUACGGCGGCGACGGAUUGGCUCGCGUCCGAUUAGCUGGUUGGCGGGGUAACGGCCCACCAAGGCUGCGAUCGGUAGGGGUUCUGAGAGGAAGGCCCCCCACAAUGGGACUGAGACACGGCCCAUACUCCUACGGGAGGCAGCAGUGAGGAAUAUUGGUCAAUGGGCGGAAGCCUGAACCAGCCAUGCCGCGUGCGGGAAGGAGGCCCUAUGGGCUGUGAACCGCUUUUGCCUGGGGGCAAUAAGGGCGUCGCGCACGCCCGAUGAGAGUACCAGGCGAAUAAGCAUCGGCUAACUCCGUGCCAGCAGCCGCGGUAAUACGGGGGAUGCGAGCGUUAUCCGGAUUCAUUGGGUUUAAAGGGUGCGUAGGCUGUGCGUCAAGUCGGGGGUGAAAUUCCGGUGCUCAACACCGGGGCUGCCCUUGAUACUGUCGCGCUGGAGUGCGGAUGCCGCCGGAGGAAUGAGUGGUGUAGCGGUGAAAUGCUUAGAUAUCACUCAGAACACCGAUUGCGAAGGCAUCUGGCGAAUCCGUAACUGACGCUGAGGCACGAAAGCGUGGGGAUAGAACAGGAUUAGAUACCCUGGUAUUCCACGCCGUAAACGAUGAUGGCUAACCGCCGGCGACACACUGUCGGUGGCCAAGCGAAAGCGAUAAGCCAUCCACCUGGGG